CCCUUAGAUGUUCUGGGCCGCACGCGCGCUACACUGAUGCAUUCAACGAGUCUAAAACCUGCUCUGAUAGGGGUGGGUAAUCUUUUGAAUGUGCAUCGUGAUUGGGAUAGAUGAUUGAAAUUUUCAUCUUCAACGAGGAAUGCCUAGUAAACGCAAGUCAUCAGCUUGCAUUGAUUACGUCCCUGCCCUUUGUACACACCGCCCGUCGCUCCUACCGAUUGAAUGAUCCGAUGAAUAUCAUGGAUUGAGGAUGCAAGUAGGUUCACCUAUCUUCAUCUUCGAGAAGUGAAGUAAAUCUUAUCAUUUAGAGGAAGGAGAAGUCGUAACA
rnacentral:rRNA from 1 species